rnacentral:rRNA from 1 species
GGAUGCCUAGGCACCAGGAGUCGAUGAAGGGCGUGGACGGCUGCGAUAAGCCGCGGGGAGGCGCUGAACAGCCUGUGAUCCGCGGAUGCCCGAAUGGGGAAACCCAGCGCUGGUAAUGCGGCGUUACUGCUUGCUGAAUCCAUAGGCACGCAGGGACAAGCCGGGGAACUGAAACAUCUCAGUACCCGGAGGAAAGGAAAUCAACCGAGACUCCCCGAGUAGUGGCGAGCGAAAGGGGAACAGCCUAAACCC